GGUAGGGUUGACUAUUCCAAUUUCAUCUUCAAUUUGACAAAUUUCUUGGUAUGUUUUAUGCUUAAUUUUUUUAGGGUUGCGAUUUAUUGGUUUAAUUUCCAGAUUGAAGGAAGGGAUAUGUUUGCAAGCCAAUAUUUUUGAAUUGGGAAUGCUACUUAUAGAUAGUAGCGGAGUUCAGCAAUCUUGGAGCUUGUUAGUUCACCUAAUUGAGCCACACGUCAGUAGUUGUAUAGCCUACUUUAUCAGAUUAUUAUUUGAUAUCUUUAGUACGUUUGGGGACCUUUGGUUGUAAAGUUAUUAUCAAUUUGCUAGUAUUCUAUUUGAACAGUUUGGAUUUUGA